rnacentral:sRNA from 1 species
UACUAAAACUAAUUUCUUAUUGCAUGAGUGAAUGAUUAGAUAAAUAAAAAUUAUUUAAAUUAAACAAUACAAAAAAAACAAAAAAAACUGCGGCAUAGCGCGUGUGAUCAUCUAGAGUGUUAGUGAGGCAUUUUCGGUUAAUCUAAAAACGAAAUUUUGGUCUAACCAAAGUAAGCAUAGGGACAGUAUUUACCAUUCACAACUGCUCUUGGAAACCUCCGGUAGUAGAACUAAGUCAUUUUCAGACAGGACCAAAAAGAAAUAGUAACUCAUAUGUAGAACUUACACUUCAACUUUUAUUCCCAUAUAUAUGAAAGUUGGAAAACUCUCUACAUAUAAGUGACACAUCAUCACACAAGAAAAUGACAUGUGUCAUUCUACAUUAAUUAAAUAAAAAAAUU